UUCCGGUUGAUCCCGCCGGACCCGACUGCUAUCAGAGUGGGACUAAGCCAUGCGAGUCAACGCCGCAAGGCGUGGCAUACGGCUCAGUAUCACGUAGUCAACAUGCCCAAAGGACGUGGAUAACCUCGGGAAACUGAGGAUAAACCGCGAUAGGCCAAGGUUUCUGGAAUGAGCCAUGGCCGAAAUCUAUAUGGCCUUUGGAUUGGACUGCGGCCGAUCAGGCUGUUGGUGAGGUAAUGGCCCACCAAACCUGUAACCGGUACGGGCUUUGAGAGAAGGAGCCCGGAGAUGGGCACUGAGACAAGGGCCCAGGCCCUAUGGGGCGCAGCAGGCGCGAAACCUCUGCAAUAGGCGAAAGCCUGACAGGGUUACUCUGAGUGAUGCCCGCUAAGGGUAUCUUUUGGCACCUCUAAAAAUGGUGCAGAAUAAGGGGUGGGCAAGUCUGGUGUCAGCCGCCGCGGUAAUACCAGCACCCCGAGUUGUCGGGACGAUUAUUGGGCCUAAAGCAUCCGUAGCCUGUUCUGCAAGUCCUCCGUUAAAUCCA
rnacentral:rRNA from 1 species